rnacentral:rRNA from 1 species
UACAGAGGUGGCAAGCGUUGUUCGGAAUUACUGGGCGUAAAGGGCGCGUAGGCGGCCUUCUAAGUCAGACGUGAAAUCCCCCGGCUUAACCUGGGAACUGCGUCCGAUACUGGAUGGCUUGAGUUUGGGAGAGGGAUGCGGAAUUCCAGGUGUAGCGGUGAAAUGCGUAGAUAUCUGGAGGAACACCGGUGGCGAAGGCGGCAUCCUGGACCAACACUGACACUGAGGAGCGAAAGCCAGGGGAGCAAACGGG